UCUCAUCUCUUAAUCUAAAAUGGCAAACCAUUCAGAACAUCUACUGCACCCAACGCUCACCUAACGGAGUUCAUUACCUAGCGUCUGCCCCAAUCCCAAAGCCAAGCGGAGGUGACUCAAGCCCAAGUGGGAUUUCAUUUUCUGGAUGGCUGUUGCCACGGUUACUGGCUGGUCCAAAACACUAAGUCGUCCUUGGCCAUAACCUGGGAGAGGGGGCUGCAGGGAGUGAAAGAUGGACAGAUGCUAAAGGACUGGCUGGGAGCAUUGUGUCGUAACAGAGUCUGGACACUGGGGGUCAGCGCUGAGUCACUGCAGGUUACGCUCGCAUGGAUCCCACUGCUGUCUGGUCUGUCAU